GAUUUUGUGAUUUAUCUAUGUUAUUAUGUAGUAAUUAAGGGUUUAAAUUGUAUAGUUAAGUUCGUAUUUGAAGUUGAAUUCCUCAAAAAUAUUGAUCAAUUUUUUUUUGUGCAAAAAUCUAUGUUUUCUUAGGCUAUUUGUAAUAUUUCCUUCAUCUAUUUUGAAUCCCAACCUAGAUAAGUAUUUUCCUAAAUUUUUUCAACUCACAUUCUGAGCUGUUCCAUAAUUUGUAAUCUAAAAGUUAUACUGCUUCUUAUUUGUUUUUGCUACGAAUUCAUGUACUAUCCAGGAUUUUGCUAUGGUUGUUGCAUAUUUGCUAUGAAAAGCUAGUCACAUUCACUUAGACCUAAACUGCUGUCAUAUAUAUUACUCUGGUUUUGCUAUGGAUCUUGCUAUGGCUGUCGUAUUUGUUUAACAAUUUUAUUACCUCUGGACCCUGUAUGAGUACCCAGCUAAGUAUUUGGACAUGAUAAGUUAAUUGGGUAGUUGAUUCCUAAUAGUCUCUAACUGCUUUAAAAGGACUGUUAAUCUAAACUAAUUGAGAUGAUAUUAGAAACAAUGAUCCUCUAAAAAUUAGAUGAGACAAUGCUCAUCUGAAUGUAAUUGAAUAAUCUCGAAACUGAAAGCAAUAAUUAUAAGAUGAGAUAUAUGAGCGAGCGAGCAGUGAUUGUUCUUCCCCUUAGUAAUUUGAAUUGGUAAUCUGUAUAUUCAAUUACUUAAAUUUUGCACUUGAGCAACCGUACUAUGCGCUAUCUUUAGAGAUUAACCUUUAAAGGUUUCCUUUCAUUGGAAACUAUUGCUUUUAUGUUCUCUUAGAUUGGUCUCAGAAUCAAGUUAUACACAGCUCUUUGGUUAUGUGUGUUUGGACAAAUAUUCUUAAUUUCCAGCAAACACCAAAUUUCAAACUACUUGUAGGUUUACUUAUGUAUAACCUUUUUCAGAUUUAACUGUAAUUAUCCUUUUUCCAUUUAAAUUACUUGUCCUCUUUACUUUUACAUAUUAUUUGGUUCUUGCUGUCUGUAAGAAGUUCACAUAAACUGAGUUAAAGUUUCAAACAAUGACACUGUUUUUAAAUUACAGCUUGAUAUCUGACAUUAGUUGAAUUAUUUUGUUGAGUUCUUUCUCUAAUGGGGAGAUCCUGUUUUUCAAAUUUAUUUUUAAUAGUUUUUUGUUUAUAAUUUAAACAGAGUUUAUUGAACUUAGCACAUUUCACAAAACUGUUUGUUGCUUUCUCUAAAAUACUCUAUUUUUAAUUUGCAAUAAUGUUAUAGGAAUAAGAUUUAAUUUAGUAUUUGUUCUUUGGUUUUUGAUUACCAUUUCCAGAACUGAAUUCUCUAAUACUUUAUUUUCCUGAUUACAUAGCUGCAAAUCAGGUUUCUGGAGUGUUGACAAACAUAUGUACAUUCUUCAUAGCAUAUCCAUAAUUAGGAACUGUAAUAUUUGAAAUGAUCCAAGAGCUUUCUUGUUGAAGCAUUUCCUUCAGUUGAAUGGGCCUCCUUUGGAAGAUCAAAUUGAACAGAUUCUGAAGAGUGGCAUUCUUGCAGAAGAGGUAAAACUUUUGUUUGGAAAGCACUAUCUUCGAAGAUAUGGUCGGAAGGUGAUAUUGUCAUAAAUGUUGCAUCAAGUGGUAUUGCAUCAUUGCUUCUUCCAGGAGGUCGAAUAGCUCACUCAAGGUUUGCCAUACCAAUCGCAGUUAACGAGGACUCCACGUGCAACAUUAGCCAAGGUAGUCACCUGGCGGAAUUGCUAAUCAAAGCCAAACUAAUCAUAUGGGAUGAAGCACCAAUGAUGCACAAACACUGUUUUGAGGCGCUGGAUAAGGCUAUGUGUGACCUGUUGCGAUUCAGUGACCCUCAUAGCGUGCAUAAGACAUUUGGUGGUAAGACGGUGGUAUUAGGCGGUGACUUCCGACAAAUAUUGCCAGUUGUUCCUAAAGGUUCUAGGCAAGAUAUUGUUUCAGCUACAAUCAACUCAUCCUACCUUUGGGAAUCAUGUCAGGUCCCGCGUCUAACCAAAAAUCUACGGCUCAAAACACUUGAUGCAUGUGCUAGCAAACAAAAUAUUGAACAGUUUGCAUCAUGGUUGGGUGAUAUAGGAAAUGGAACAUUAGGCGGACCUAAUGAUGGAUCAUGCAAAAGUUGAAAUUCCUAAAGAAAUGUUAUUGCCAUCAAAUGGUGACUACAUAUCUACAAUAGUUGAUAGUGUAUUUCUAAUGUUCAGGCAUGGCGGGUCAGACUUACAACAAAUGGAGAAUCGUGCCAUCCUAGCGCCAACACUGGAUGUGGUAAAUGCGGUCAAUGAAUAUAUGAGUGAUUUGCAUGUUGCUGAGAGCAAGACAUACCUAAAUUGUGACACUGUGUGUAAGUCUGACACAACAAAUGGUAUACUAUAUGAUAUGCACACUCCUGAAUUCUUAAUUGGGUUGAAAGCUUCUGGCACACCGAACCAUUCUUUAACUUUGAAGAAUGGAUCUCCGGUAAUGUUGUUGAGAAAUAUAGAUCACUCAAUGGGUCUUUGUAAUGGUACAAGACUUAUCAUUACUAGGUUAUCUGAUUAUGUUGUAGAAGCAAAGAUUGUCGGAGGCCACAAUGCCGGUAAUGUCGUGCUGAUACCAAGGAUGUCAAUGACUCCAACUGAUACAAGAUUGCCAUUUAAAUUUCAAAGAAGGCAAUUUCCCCUAAUACUAUCAUAUGCAAUGACUAUCAACAAAAGUCAAGGAUUGACUUUAACACAUGUCGACUUACUAUUAAAGAAGCCGGUUUUUGUUCAUGGUCAACUAUAUGUUGCUGCUUCAAGGAUUAGUAACUCUGCUGGGUUAAAAAUUCUAAUACCCAAUGAAGGUGGUGACUAUAGUAACUAUACUACGAAUGUUGUGUACCAUGAAGUUUUUAAUAAUUUAUAACU